UGGUGACCAGUGUAGUCAGGUUUGCAUCCCAGGUCGUAGGAUCAUCCGACCUUACGUGCCACGACACCUCAACCGUGCUUUGACUUUACAUUGGUUUGUUUUUGCUUAUUUUUGCAUAAAAAAUAAAAUUAAAGAAGAAGUCAACUGCUUUUGUGGCUGGAUCUCCAUUUUCUAUCGACGAAAAUAUGAUUUCCGAUUAGAUCUACAUUUUCCAGACACUAAUAUCAUGGUUUCCUAGCCAGAUCUACAAUUUUG
rnacentral:lncRNA from 1 species